GUUUAGGCUUCACUAGAAGCCACCUCUAUAUUUAAAGGUAUUCUGG
rfam:Colinus virginianus strain Texas jcf7180006215903, whole genome shotgun sequence.